rnacentral:rRNA from 1 species
CUUUACUAUAGCUUGACACUGAACAUUGAGCCUUGAUGUGUAGGAUAGGUGGGAGGCUUUGAAGCGUGGACGCCAGUCUGCGUGGAGCCAACCUUGAAAUACCACCCUUUAAUGUUUGAUGUUCUAACGUUGGCCCCUGACCGGGGUUGCGGACAGUGUCUGGUGGGUAGUUUGACUGGGGCGGUCUCCUCCCAAAGCGUAACGGAGGAGCACGAAGGUUAGCUAAUCCUGGUCGGACAUCAGGAGGUUAGUGCAAUGGCAUAAGCUAGCUUGACUG